GUUUUAUGCAGCAUGUUCCUUUGUCCUCUAAGAUCUAGAGACUUAAAGAAAUUUAGGGCCAUCUUUUCAGCAGGAACACCCCAAAGUGGCAUCAGGCGCCUCCCGCUGAUGGUAAGGAACAUGAGUGGAUUCAGUGCAAGGCUCUUCCCUCCUGACCCCAGGAGGUCUGUGGCUGCCAUUCACUUCACAAGCAAAGCACCCUGGCUGACUCCUGUUAAAGCAGCAGUCUCACUUUCUUGAACCACACUCCUUCGGUGCCUUGGCCCCGGUUCCUCGUCUACGGAAAGGUGCAUCAGCGAGAAGUUGGAUCAGAAAUGUGGAGCAGCUGAGGAUCCAGAGCGGCCUACUGAUGUGGGAUGUGGAUAUCCCACAGAGGUGUUUAACACACUCUGGCACAAUACCUGACCCUAUUUUAAACUAGAUAUUUUUUGCUAAGGUUUUAUUUUUAGCUUUUCAUAUACUCUAGUAUGAACCCUUUGUUAAAUGAAUAGUUUGCACAUAUUUCAUGCCAUUCUGUAGGUUGAUGGUUUCCUUUGCUGUACAGUUUGGCUCCUUUACAAUUCUGGUGGGAAUGUAAAUUAGUACAGCCAUUGUGGAGGACACUAGGGGUUCCUCAAAAGUCGAAACGUAGAAUGCCCAUGAUCCAGCUUCUGGGUAUAUGUUCAUUUCCAAAGGAAACGAAGUCAGCAUGUCGAAGAGCUAUCUGCCCUUUCACGGUGAUCACAGCGCAACUCGCCACAGUCAGCAUAUGGAACCCGCCUGGGUGUCCACUGACAGGUGACUGCAUACAGAAGGUGUGGCUGAUAUGCACCAUGGAAUAGCAUUCAGCCCUGAAAAGGAAUGAACUUCUAUCCUCCGAGGCAAAAUGAAUGCAACUGGAGGACAGUAAGUUAAAUUAGCAAGACACAGAGGGACAGUACUGAAUGCUCUCUCACUUGUGGACGUUAAAGGUGUUGAUCCCAAGGUAGAAGGGAAUAGAAGAGUUCAUUCCUGCACACUAGAAGGGUAGCAGAGACGGGGGGUAAAUAUAAGUUGAAUAACGGGUACCCAAACAACGUCAGACACAGGGAGUAAGUUCUCGUGUUCCACACAGAGUGAGGUGACUACAGUUCCAAAUAAUCUAUAUACUUCACGAAAAACUAAAGGAGAGGGGCUUGAAGGCUCAAAUCCUUUCAGAAAAGGAGACAGAAAUGCCAGUGAACUUAUUUGAUCAGUACACACUACGAAAUACACACUGUGCCAAAUAUGCAUACAAUUGUUACAUGUCAAUAAAAAGAAAAAAAAGCAGAAAAUGUCCGCUCUUCACAGUUUUUGGAGGCACAUAGUAACUGUUGCAGAUUUCGCUCAUUAGCUGUAUAUAUUUUAAGUCGGCAAACUGGGGAAAAAACCAGCUGAAGUCAUCCAUAGCAUUCCAAUCUGACUGAAGUGAAAACAAUAAACUGAUGACAACAUUGAGGAGCCAGAUAUUCCCACCAGUUAAAUCUGCUCCAUAUAUACAGUCUGUAAGAUGGUAUUUCUGUUUUUUCAAAAUGUGCAACAGCAAAUUUGUUCACUGGUACCCAUGCCCAUCUUCCUUUGUUUUUUGGCAAACGGUACAAAUUUCUCUGUGGAAGUCAUUUAUUCCCAGGAAUUUUCCUAUUAAACAUUCAAAUAACAAGAACAGCUGGUCACAACUACUGGGAGACUUUAGGGAGAAAGUAGCAACCUGCAAAGAUGAAUGGCGUUUAUAAGCUGAACUAGCUGCAAUGGUGAUUUUAAUUUCGUAGUAGGUGAGGAACAUUUGUAUUUGGGAGACACAUUCAUUUAUAUGUUUUUCUAUUAUCACACAGAUUCAAGGGUAAUUCUAGGCCUUAUUUUGGAAAGUAAUGAACAUUCUUAUUCAGAAAAUAGGGAAGAAUAAUGCCAUCUAUAACAAAAUUGCUCAUUUUUUCAAAAAGCGAAAACAACUCAUACUCAGUUACAAAUUCUAACUCUGUUUAAUGAAUGUCACUGCUGCACAUUACACAUACGAGAGGACCUGAACGUCAGUGGAAAACAGGAUUAAAAUAUAAGGGUUUUUUCUUGGUUGAGGGGACACACUUUGAAAUCCACACAUGUUUUCUGCAAUAGGUAUUUUCCAUGAACUUUCUGAAGAUCCCUUAUGUGCAUGGAUUUCAAGAUGUUUCUGUACCACAGUAAAUUAUCUUUUAUUUCUAGUACUCCAGGAACUUACUGAAGAACCUGUUUAGGUGACUGGAAUCAUGGCUUAUCACCUUAAAAUGACUCAAAUAUAGAUUGGAGGAUAUCCGGAGCACCAUGAUAUUUUUCUUUUUCAAUCAAAUUUCACAUAUGAGAGAAUUAAACACUAACAUAUUUCCAUCCUUCUACAUACACACAAGUGUAGAACCACGAGGCUGAAUUUUUAACAUGCAAAUUGCAGCUGUUUCCACUCAAUUUAGGGUAGCACUACCACUCACUGAUUUUUUAACUACUGUUCAUUUGAGAGACAGCCAGGGGUCUCCUAUACCUUGGUUCACUAUCCAGAUGCCUACAAUGGCUGGGGUGGGGCCAACUCCAGGAUCUAGAAAUUCAACCCAGGUCUCCCACUCUGAUGGCAGGAACCCAAUCACUUCCUCCAUCACAACUGCCUCUUAGAGUCUGUAUCAGCAGGGAGCUGGAAUUAGAGCCAGAGGCAGGUGCUGAUCCAA